ensembl:ncRNA F37H8.11 ncRNA
UGCCAUUCGGUUUCGUUUCAAGUGGCAAAAGGAGGUGAAAUUUCGAAAAAAAUUGAAAUGAAUGAAUGAAUCAAAGGAGGACUAGGGGGGUCGGCUGCCAAAAUGACACGAGAGGUUGAGUGUAGAAAGAAGAAGAAAGGCAACGACGAAAUUAGCAGAAAGAACACAGGGGUAAAGGACUGUUGGGCAAUAGUGGGGUGAAACUGAAGG